ACGGAGGGGGCUAGCGUUGUUCGGAAUUACUGGGCGUAAAGCGCACGUAGGCGGCUUUGUAAGUUAGAGGUGAAAGCCCGGGGCUCAACUCCGGAAUUGCCUUUAAGACUGCAUCGCUAGAAUUGUGGAGAGGUAAGUGGAAUUCCGAGUGUAGAGGUGAAAUUCGUAGAGAUGCGGAGGAACACCGAUGGCGAAGGCAGCCCCCUGGGCUGACACUGACGCUCAGGCACGAAAGCGUGGGGAGCAAACAGGA
rnacentral:rRNA from 1 species